UGUGAGGAUUAAAUCAAGUGUUAUUUGUGACAGCUAUAUAGUGUAGCAUGAAGACCUAAGUAUCUAGCACAUGUCUAAUUAAUAAAAAUGGCUAAGGUCAGAAAAAGAGUUACCUACGAAUGGAUUCGACUACCUUGUAAGGUAAUGAGCAUCCUGCAACUAGAAGGAUUCAAGUAAAGGAAAAGUUGCUUCCACUUAGGUUUGUAAGAAAGUUUCUGCAUCCAUGAAGAAGCUGACUGGGAUGAACCUUGACCCCAGCUCUUGGGGGUGGUGGUGGUGGGGGGCUUCUGAGACGAAGGAAGACAGGCAGGCAUCUGGUUAGGGUUAGGGUUACAGGCAGGCAUCUGGUUUUGGGCCCAGAACCUGAUGUGUGCCACCAAACCCGCCCACUGGACCCCACUUGGCCCCUGGAGGCUAUUUUUACUCCUCUCAUCUUACAGAUCUGUUUUGUUAAUCUCCUUAUAUUUGCUGUUUUGACUUCCCAGUCAGCUUGCUAAUCAGUUUGCCUGUUUGACUCACAGGGUUUGCAUUUGUCACUGAGACUUAAACACACACUUGUUUUGAUUUCUUUUUGUAAAAUUAGAAGCGUUUGAUGUAAUGACUCUACCUAGACACAGCUGGUAAAGUGAGAAUAAUGCUCAAGUUUGCACAGUUUAAACACAAUGUAGACAAUAAUUAGAAAUGCUAUCUUUAGAUGUUUAGGAUAAGCUUUUUCUCAGAAUUGCAGUGAAUUUUUUCUGAGUGGGGCUUUUCAGUGCGUAUAUAUACAGAAAUACUAAAAACGUAAGAAAAUAGAGCAAAUCAGUGAGUGCUUUGGUCAACUUGAAAGACGGCAGGAAAUAAACCAACUGAUUUUAGAUCUGGCAUUUUUGACUGAAUGCAUAAAAUCUUUACAUUCUCCAUAAUUUUCACGACUGCCAUAUGAUCUAAUAAUUUUAGGUGACAGAUUGCAACCGAUAAGUUGAUACAAUACUCUAGAAGGAACACUCAGCCUCUAUCGUUGGCCUGCAGCGAGGCUGGAGAGGGAAAAUGGUGCAAAUUAAAGAUAAUCAUCUAUAUCAGGAAAAUUACUGCAUGUUUAUUUCAGGUAACAAAAAAAAGAUAUAGUUACAUUACAUGAUGAUUGUAGAAACCAAUAAACACAGGGUCUGCAAAUGAAUAGAGGUUACUUCUUUCUUUAAAUUAAACUACAAGAUAGCAGCUGGUUUGCUUUUUUUUUUUUAAAGCCAAUUGUUUUAAAUUUAAUAGGCUAUCACUGGCCUCGGCUAAGAUCCAAAAUAUAUUCCUCGGCUCACAUAGAUUCCAGAAAGUCGAACUUGUCAGUGUUGCACAAACUUUCCCUAUUAAAAAAAAAUCCCACUCAGUCGAGAGGUGAUAUGAAAUGUAAGGCAGCACAUCUGUAUCUAUCAUUUUAAAUUGCCUUCAUGCUGUAUCAACUUGUUUUGUUUUGUUUUUGUGAGCAAUCAUAAUAUCGAGAGACAGGUCCUUCUUAUUUUUCCUGCUUCUCAUUUCUAAUUAGAUUCACUACUGAGCUCUCUAUUGCAGCUCUGAUUUUCAAAUUUUUCUCUGUUCAGAAAGACAUCUGGAAAAAAAGGAAUAUAUUAAAGUAGUGACUUAAGGGGAAUAUUUUGGCUUCUUGACAUCCUAACUGAGCCGUGUCAUGGUACCCUCAGUAUUAUAUUAAGGGGGAGAUUUUUCCAAAUGGAGGCUUCCAGAAUGAAAGCAAAAGGCAGACAGAGAAGGUACUCAAAGAGAGGACUUUUUUUUUUUUUUAAGAUUUUGUUUAUUAUUUGAGAGAGAGAGACAGAGACGGAAUGAGCAGGGGCAGAGGGAGAGGAAGAAGCAGACUCCGCGGAGCAGGGAGCCCGAUGUGGGUCUCGAUCCCAGGACCCCGGGGUCAUGACCUGAGCCGAAGGCAGACGCUUAACAGACUGAGCCACCCGGGCGCCCCAAGAGAGAACUUUUGCAAAGAGAAAUAGGAUACCAAGCCAUCCAAAGGGCUGUAGCAAAACGAUGGAGUCAGGAGAGGCCCCAUAUUUUGGAGGAGCAGCAAACCAAGAGGGGUGAAGGCAUGCUGUAAUUUUAAAGAAACAAGGAAGAUAACACCAAUGAGCAGGUAGCUGGUCUUUGAAAUUCCUUAAAGAAGAGGUUGAACCACAUGACUGCUCUGCAUUCUGCUGGCAACCGAGCUGGAAAAAUAAUGGAAGGACAGACACACUCGAAGAGGCAAACAAAGGUGGGAACGUCCCAGCUACAAAACAGAACAGAUGAUAAAGCAGCCAGGGGAGAGCGGAGAUGAGAUGACAUCCUUCUUAACAAAAAACAGCCACCGCCCCGCCCCCCAGCUCCAGACUCAUGAGUAACGCAAUAUUCUGGCUUUUUAAGGGAAGAAAAUGAAACAAAAUCAGAUGUGGGGUUCAGAGACAAUGCUGCUGGUGGCUUAUUUAAAUUUAUUCUCAACUUUCCUCUACUGCUCGAUUUUGUUUUGCUGUUCACCCUUUUAGAGUCUGCAUGUCCAGGGACAGGCCCUCCCCAGUUCAUUUGGUGAUCCUGAUGAGCCUGAGCCCUUCUCAGUUAAUUCCAACUCCCUCGCUAGGGGUUGGUUUAGACAUAGGCUUGUGAUAAUUCUGACCAAUGAAUUGUGACAAGUACUAGGUUUCUUGCUCUUAUGCAUGCACGUCCGCACAUGCACACACACACAUGCAUGCACACACAUGGGGAGAAACUUCUUCUUGCCUCUGGACACAAAUGUGAGAACAAGUGACUGAUGCUGGAGCUGUGGCAGCCGUCUCAGCAGCUUGACGGUGUAGCUGACCCUGAGGCAGGCAGAGCAGAAAGAUGGAAACCCAGAUCCUUGAUGACUUCUUGAAUAAACCCGGCCCAGAAUACCCUACUUCUGAAGUUCUCCUUAUGCAAUAUAAUUCAUUUUCCUAUCGUUCAAGUUUCUUAAAGUGUGUGAAUCGUAGCGGAGCGUGCUCAGACUGAUGCAAGGCUAGCUGGUGGAGCAGGGGAGAGAACGUUGUGCACUUCCACGAGGACUCUCAAAAAGACAAAAGACAGCCGCCACACACUCUGCGUCUCGUCUCUAAGAUCCCGGUACCCGGCAGCACAGACGAAGCAGCCUUAAUGGCCCGCAGGAGGAGUGAAGGGUUCAAGGUUUCCCUGGCAAGGGAAACUGGAUGGGCCCUAAGCAGUUUCC